GUUCUUAUAGUUUAAAAAAAAACAUUACAUUUUCAUUGUAAAAAUAACCCAAGUUUAAGAACU
rnacentral:tRNA from 1 species